rnacentral:rRNA from 1 species
GAUGAACGCUAGCGGCAGGCCUAAUACAUGCAAGGCGAGGGGGUAGCAAUACCACCGUCGUACGGGUGCGUAACACGUAUGCAACCUACCUAUCACAGGGGGAUAGCCUUUGGAAACAAGGAUUAAUACCGCAUAAAGCAGGGACACCGCAUGGUGAUAUUGCUAAAGAUUUANCGGUGAUAGAUGGGCAUGCGUCUGAUUAGUUAGAUGGUGAGGUAACGGCUCACCAUGACGAUGAUCAGUAGGGGGCGUCAGAGCGUGGUCCCCCACACUGGCACUGAGAUACGGGCCAGACUCCUAC